rnacentral:sRNA from 1 species
CACCGGCGAUUGAUUACGCCGAGGGUCUGACAACCGGCCUGUCCCCCGCCAUGUCAGACUUGGACAAAGGCCUAUCCCCCUCUCCGGGCCUUUGUCCCCCUUUUCAGAGCCGCCAUGGCGCCCCCUCCAGGCCAUGGCGGCUUUUC